AAGUCGUAACAAGGUUUCCGUAGGUGAACCUGCGGAAGGAUCAUUAACACGUAUCCAACGUUAAAACAACCCCCGUGAACUUUCAGCUUGCUCCUGUAGCCCGUGAAAACAGCAAUCCCUGGUAAAUCAUUGUUGACCAGCUUUUGAGUCAGGGACCUCUGCCGAUUGUGAUAUUUUAUAGCUACGGUUGAGCGAUUGCAUCUAGUGACCUGGCAUCCCCAAGUAAUCAGUGUCUCAUUGAUUAUGUAAGGAUGGCGCAGUCACGAUCGCUGUAGGCCCACACGGCCGGCGACCGGACGACAACACAGUACGAAUUGGCCGCGCGUGAAAUUCGCACGGCACCAAAAACCGAACAACUGUUAACAAUGGAUAUC
rnacentral:misc_RNA from 1 species